GAAGUAUGAUGCCCAAGUAAAAGCUGCUAACUUUUUCCUUUAAUGGUUAAAUUCCAUUUAUAUUUCU
rnacentral:tRNA from 1 species